CCUACGGGAGGCAGCAGUGGGGAAUAUUGCACAAUGGGCGAAAGCCUGAUGCAGCAACGCCGCGUGCGGGAUGACGGCCUUCGGGUUGUAAACCGCUUUCAGCAGGGACGCGGUACCUGCAGAAGAAGCACCGGCCAACUACGUGCCAGCAGCCGCGGUGAUACGUAGGGUGCAAGCGUUGUCCGGAAUUAUUGGGCGUAAAGAGCUCGUAGGCGGUUCGUCACGUCGGAAGUGAAAACUCAGGGCUUAACCCUGAGCCUGCUUCCGAUACGGGCGAACUAGAGGAAUGCAGGGGAGAACGGAAUUCCUGGUGGAGCGGUGGAAUGCGCAGAUAUCAGGAGGAACACCGGUGGCGAAGGCGGUUCUCUGGGCAUUCCUGACGCUGAGGAGCGAAAGCGUGGGGAGCAAACAGGCUUAGAUACCCCAGUAGUC
rnacentral:rRNA from 1 species